UACGGAGGAUGCGAGCGUUAUCCGGAUUUAUUGGGUUUAAAGGGUGCGUAGGCGGGCUGUUAAGUCAGCGGUCAAAUGUCGGGGCUCAACCCCGGCCUGCCGUUGAAACUGGCAGACUUGAGUUGGCGAGAAGUACGCGGAAUGCGCGGUGUAGCGGUGAAAUGCAUAGAUAUCACGCAGAACUCCGAUUGCGAAGGCAGCAUGCCGGCUUCCGACUGACGCUGAAGCACGAAAGCGUGGGGAUCGAACAGG
rnacentral:rRNA from 1 species